rnacentral:tRNA from 1 species
GCUCCUGUAGCACAAUGGAUAGUGCAGUGGCCUCCGAAGCCAUUGAUCUGGGUUCGACUCCCGGCGGGAGCACCA